CUUAAAUCUUAUAGGCCAGUUAUUUUAUAGAAUAUCCCUCAAUUGGGGUUUGUCUGAUGCUUCCUCAAGAUUAAAUUCAGG